AUGUGGAGAGGUACGCCUUUCAGUACGAAACCAAGACAAGUACCAGUGACAGCACUGUUGUCCUCUACCUGGAAAAGCUCUCCCAUGAGAAGAACACGGUGCUGGGCUUUUGGGUUCACAGGAUGCUGCAGGCGGAGUUCCUGCAGGCCGCCCUCGUCACCAUCUACGACUACUACGAGCCUUAAGCCCAGUGACCAAUUGAGGCAGGAGGAGCUCCAGACAACAGCCUGUGAGGCAGGCGUGGAUUUUGUGUACAAGACAAAGCUAGAAUCUGUGGAGGUCUCUGCCUCCAACCCUUACGUCUAUUACAACAUGCAGGCUCGAAGACAUCAUUAA
rnacentral:lncRNA from 1 species